rnacentral:lncRNA from 1 species
GACCUACACCACAGCUCAUGGCAAUGCUGGAUCCUUAACCCACUGAGCAAGGCCAGGGAUCAAAUGCACAACCUCAUGGUUCCUAGUUGGAUUUGUUAACCACUGCACCACAACGGGAACUCUGAAAAAUGCUGUAUUCAUUCACUAUAGCCAAGACGUGAAAACAACCCAAAUGUCCAUUGACAGAUGAUUGGAUUAGGAAGAUGUGGUAUAUAUACACAAUGGAAUACUACUCAGCCAUAAAAAAGAAUGACAUAAUGCCAUUUGCAGCAACAUGGAUGGAACUAGAGACUCUCAUACUAAGUGAAGUAAGUCAGAAAAAGAAAGACAAAUACCAUAUGAUAUCACAUAUCUGGAACUUAAUAUAUGGCGCAAAUGAAACUUUCCACAGAAAAGAAACUCGUGGACUUGGAGAACAGACUUGUGGUUGCCAAGGGGGAGAGGGAGGGAGUGGGAUGGACUGGGAGUUUGCGUUAAUAGAUCCAAACAAUUGCCUUUGGAAUGGAUGAGCAGUGAGAUCCUGCUGUAUAGCACUGGGAACUAUAUCUAGUCACUUGUGGUGGAACAUGAUGGAGGAUAAUAUGAGAAAAAGAAUGUAUAUAGGUAUGUGUGAUUGGGUCACUUUGCUGUACAGUAGAAAAUGGACAGAACACUGUAAACCGACUAUAAUGGAAAAAAUUUAAAUCGCUUUAAAAAAUAAAUUACAGCCCAUUAACCACUUCCAAAAAAACAAAGGGGGGGGGGAGGGAAAUGCUGUAUUCACAUUUUGGCUACCAAUGUUACUUUUCUUUAAAACUCCUAUAAACAGGACUCAAGCACAGUUAGGUUUUAGAGACCUAGGAUGUCACCGACCAUAUGAAGUCCUUAUCAAUAUUUCUGUCAAAGAAGACACCUGUUUCGAGUAAGUAUUGAAUAACUAUUUAUCAAAUGAUUUUUAAUCAAUACUUCUGUGGUGUAAGAUCCAUUGAUUAACCUGCUGGUCCCUCUUCAUGUUUAAUGUGUUCUUAUUUUAUAAUUAGAACUAAACCUGGUCCCUCCGCAGGACACUAUUUGAUUGGUUGAAGAUGAAGAUGUUGGGGGUGUUUGUUCAUCUACCCAACUCGGGAAAAGCGGUGCUGUUCACUGCCCCUCCGUGACCCCGGGGUGAUGUAGCUCCCUGGUGAUCACCGUCUGCCUUGUCUCCUGUGAGAGCCAGCAGCCAGCUCUGCACACACCAGCUGUGUCCAUUCCUGCAGCUGACUCUGCCGGGGUCCAGCUCCCUCCUGCCCACAGGGGCACGUUCCCUCCAAGAGGCUGGACUUUGCCCCGUUCCCAUGAACCUUUCACAAGGUGCAAAGCCUUUCUUUACGUCUACCUGUGACUUUCCUUCCUGAUUCCUUCCCCAAACGUGCAUGCGUCUUUCUCUAUUUCCAGUCCCUUGGGUUACGAACUCCCGAAGUGAAGAGAAAUAUACUGGAAGAACCAGAGUGUCUAGAGAGAAGGCUUUAGAAAGGACGGGUGGCUUCAGCACCCACCAGGGCAGGACAUCCCAGAUUCCAAGUAUUUUCAAUCUCUCCUCCAGAUAAAAGGAGCAAAUGCCAGCUGAAUGGGUGGCCAACUGCUUCUGUCUGCCAGCAGUCUCGAACUUACUUUGAAUAAGAGUGAUGCACUGAAACCCUUUGAAAUGUAUGACGUGCGCCCUGUUCUUCGUCAUGUUCACCAAAAGUUUAUAAACUUUGUGAUGCUACGUGUUCAAGCCACCCACAUCCUGGACCGAAGGAUUGACUUUGAAUGAAACCAAAACUCCUGUUCAUCGCAAGCCAAAGGUAAAGAUAAUUCUGUUGAGAUUUCUAUGAGCUUCAUUUUUUUCCAUCUCUUUCUCUCCCCCCCCGCCCCGCUCCCCCCCUCCCCACUGGAAUCGUCUCUUCUUUUGUAGCUUUCGCCAGUAUUAAAAUGGUACGACGUGGUUUUCCAGAAACGAUGUUACACGUGACGUUUUUAACUCAAGCCCAACACCCUCAAAGUGGGUGAGGCUUGCUGGGCUCAGUGAUUUUCAACCAACAUGUGAGCGAGAUCAAGGACUGUGUAGACACACACACUGUUUUCGCUAGGCUGGUUUUAAUGACAGAGAUGCUUUUUUAUAGUUUGUUACACAGCUGUUUUUCUUUUUCUAGCUGUGCCUGUGGCAUAUGGAUGUUCCCAGGCCAGGGGUCGAAUCGGAGCUGCAUCUGCAACCUAUGUCGCAGUCACAGCCACAGCAACACCGGAUCCUUAACCCACUGAGCGAGGCCAGGGAUUCAACCCACAUCCUCACGGACACAAUGUUGGGUUGUAAACCUGCUGAGCCACAGUGGGAACUC